ACGGGUGAGUAACACGUGGGCAACCUGCCUGUAAGACUGGGAUAACUUCGGGAAACCGAAGCUAAUACCGGAUAGGAUCUUCUCCUUCAUGGGAGAUGAUUGAAAGAUGGUUUCGGCUAUCACUUACAGAUGGGCCCGCGGUGCAUUAGCUAGUUGGUGAGGUAACGGCUCACCAAGGCAACGAUGCAUAGCCGACCUGAGAGGGUGAUCGGCCACACUGGGACUGAGACACGGCCCAGACUCCUACGGGAGGCAGCAGUAGGGAAUCUUCCGCAAUGGACGAAAGUCUGACGGAGCAACGCCGCGUGAGUGAUGAAGGCUUUCGGGUCGUAAAACUCUGUUGUUAGGGAAGAACAAGUAUGAGAGUAACUGCUCGUACCUUGACGGUACCUAACCAGAAAGCCACGGCUAACUACGUGCCAGCAGCCGCGGUAAUACGUAGGUGGCAAGCGUUAUCCGGAAUUAUUGGGCGUAAAGCGCGCGCAGGCGGUUUCUUAAGUCUGAUGUGAAAGCCCACGGCUCAACCGUGGAGGGUCAUUGGAAACUGGGGAACUUGAGUGCAGAAGAGAAAAGCGGAAU
rnacentral:rRNA from 1 species